AAGUAAAGGGGUUGUACUGAUGCUUUUUAAGGCAUAUUAUCAACAUACAGCCAUGACUUGUCCAGAGAAUCUCACCUGACAAAAACUCAGAGAAGAAAGAGAAAGAAGAUGAAAUGGCUGGUUUUCAGAUGUGUAUUCUCAUUUUAUGGAAGACAUGUUGCCAGAGUAAAGCACAAUAUAUUCAUCUUGAAAUGUAAUACUGAGAAGAUAUGGAAGUUAUGGAAGUUGUGGCCUUCAGAAUUGACACUUACGGAGAGACUAGAACAGCGUGGGUGAGUUGUGAGGGGCAGGAAGCAUGUCUUAAUGGACUUAACCAAUUUUCGUCAACUAUUCACAGUAAAAUCUUUCAAUGUACAAAAUUUAAUAAUCUGAUAAACAAUAAACAAAAUAUUUGAAUAGGCAUUUUUCAUAAGACGUACAAAGGGCAGACAGGCAUACGAAAAGGUGCUCAACAUUUUUGAUCAUCAGACAAAUGCAAAUCAAAACUACAAUGAGAUAUUACGUGACUCAGUUAAAUGGCUUAUAUCCAAAAGGUAGGCAGUAACAAAUGCUGGAGAGAAGUGGAGAAAGGGAGCCCUUGUAUGCUGUUGACAGGAAUGUAACAUUUUGAAAAUUCUUCAAAACAACUAAAAAUAAAGCUACCAUAUAAUUCAGGAAUGCCACUCCUGAGGAUUCACUUACUAGAAAGGAAAUCCAUACAUUGAAGAGAUAUCUACCCUCCCAUGUUUGUUACAGCAGUGUGCUCCAGCCAAUAUUUGGAAGUAACCUGAUGUCCAUCAAGAAAUGACUGGAUAAAGAAAACAUGGCACAUAUACACAAUGGAAUACUAUUUAGCCAUAAAAAAUAAGAUCCUAUUAUUUGCAACAACAUUGAUGGAACCAUAGAUUAAGUGAAAUAAGCCAGGCACAGAAAAACAAACUUUCCAUGUUCUCACUUAUUUGUCGGAGCUAAAAAUCAAAACAAUAUAACUCAUGUAGGUAGAGGUAGUUGCCAGAGGCUGGGAAGGGCAGUGGGGAAUGUAGGGGACGGUAGGGAUGGUUAAUGAGUACAAAAAAAAAGAAAGAAUUAGUAAGACCUAGUGUUUGAUAGUACAUCUGGGUAACUAUAGUCAAUAAUAAUUUUAAUUGUACAUUUUAUAAUAACGAAAAAAGUAAAAUUAGAUUGGUUGUAACACAAAGAAUAAAUGCCUGAGGGGAUGAUGGAUACCCCAUUUUCCAUGAUGUGAUUAUUUCUUUCUAUGCCUGUAUUAAAGUAUCUCAUAUAUCACAUCAAUAUAUCUCCAACUAAGUACCCACAAAAAUAAAAAAUUUAAACCAAUUCAAAAUGCCAGAAUUUCUAUACAUGAACUAUAAACUACCUGAAAAAGUCAAGUAAACAAUUUUAUUUAUAAUAACUACAAAAAGUUUACUCAUAAAUGUAACCAAAAUGGUGAAAGAUUUCUAUAUUAAAAUUAAAAAACACUGAGUAGAAAAACUUUCUAAAUCACAAAUAAAUGGAAAGAUAUUUCUGGUUCAUUGAUUGGCAGAAUUAAUACUGUUAAAAUGUCUACACUGAGCAAAACAAUCUACAGAUUCAAAGCAGUCUCUUAUCUGUAUACAAAUGAAAUUAUUUAGAAUAUUUCAAAAAUUCUAAAGUUCAUAUGGCAUCACAAAAACACUAAACAGCAACAGAAAUUAAGCACAAAUAAUACAGCUGGAAGCAUUACACUACCUUUGAAAUACACUACAAAGCUUUAGGAAUUGAUACAGUAUGAUAACUGGUUUAAAAAGAGAAACAUAGGUGAAUAAAGCAGAAUGCAGAGCCCAGAAACAAAUUCAUAAAAUUUCAGGAUCUUACACAAAGGUGACAAGAACACACAGUGGGGAAAGGACAGUUACUUCAAAAGUGGUGUUAUGAAAACUGAGUAUCUCCAGGCAGAACAAUGAAAUGAGACCCUCCACCAACAUAAAUCAAAGACUCAAAACUCUGGAACUGCUACAAAAAACAGAGUGAAAGCUCCAUGACAUUGGUGGGGACAAUAAUUUUUUCUUAUUUAUUUCACCUCAAAAUCCCAGCAAACAAAAGUGGAAGUAGACAAAUGAGAUUACUUGAAAACUGAAAAGCUUCUACACAGCACUAGGUACAACCAACAGAAGAAAAAUAACGUAUAAAUAAGAGAAAAUAUUUAUGAGUUAUAUAUCUGACAAAGGGUUACUAUCCAAAAUAGACAGGAAACUCAAACAACUAUAGAACAAUAAACAAGUAACUAUUAAAAUGGGUGAAAGAUGUAAAUAAACAUUUCUUAAAGGAAGACAUACAAAUGGUAAAAAAUAUAUGAAAAAAAUGCGAGGUAACUUAUCAUAAGGCUAAUCUAAGGUUAAGGCUAAUCUAAGGUUAGGACUAAUCUAAACCUCUAUUAGAUAACAACUCACUACUGUUAGAAUGACUAUUAAUAAAAAGCCAAAAAAAUAAUUAUUGGCAAAGAUGUGGAGCAAAGGGAAUGCUUGCGCACUGAAUGUAAAUCAGCGUAGCCAUUAUACAAAACAGUAUGGAGAUUUCUCAAACAUUAAAAGCUGAACUAUCAUAUGAUACAGCAAUAUCAUUAUUGGGCACAUAUCAAAAAAAUCAAGUAUGUGAAAGAGACAUCUGUGCUGUUAUGUUUAUUGCAGCACUAUUCACAAUAGCCAAGAUAUAAAAUCAAACUCAGGGUUUAUUAUCAAAUAAAAUGAUAAAGAACAUGUGGCAUACAUCCAUUCUGUACGAAUGGAUUAUUAUUCAGCCUUAAAAUAGAAAAUACUGUCAUUUUCAAUUACAUGGAUGAACAUGAAGGAGAUUAUGUUAAUUGAAAUAAUGCAGACACAGAAAGACAAAUACCUCAUGAUUUUGCUCAUAUGUGGAAUUUUAAAAAAUUGAUCGCAUUGAAGUAGAGACUAAAAUAGUGGAACGAGAGGCUAAGAUAUUUUGGAAGGGGAUUGGGUAGAUGUCUUUCAAAGAAUAUAUAAUUAGUUAGAUUAAAGGAAUAAGUUAAAAAAAUCUGUUGUAAAGCCUGGUGACUAUAGUUAAUGAUGACAUACUGUUAUGUUUUAAAAAUACUGAUAUAGUCAAUGUUAAGUGUUCUCCAUCACAAAAAUGAUAACUAUAUGAGGUAAAGCACUUGUUAAUUAGCCAGAAUUUAAUAUUACACAAUGUAUGCAUGCUUUAAACCACAUUUUACAUGACAAUACAUAUAAUUUUAUCUGUCAAUUUAAAAAAUGUAGAAACAUGAAAAGGUAGUGUUUCAAAUAAUCAGUCUGUGUCUUAUUCAUAAGCUUAGCAGAGUAGUAUCAAAAUAUAUAGUUUUUGUGAUGUUUUUGUCAUUUCAUUUGUCAGUCAUAAGCAUAGAAACUCAGAUAUUUACCAGCAUGUGCAAGAACCAGCACAGUGCCUGGGAGAAUCCUAU
rnacentral:lncRNA from 10 species